UGGCGGACGGGUGAGUAAUGUCUGGGAAACUGCCUGAUGGAGGGGGAUAACUACUGGAAACGGUAGCUAAUACCGCAUAACGUCGCGAGACCAAAGAGGGGGACCUUAGGGCCUCUUGCCAUCGGAUGUGCCCAGAUGGGAUUAGCUAGUAGGUGGGGUAACGGCUCACCUAGGCGACGAUCCCUAGCUGGUCUGAGAGGAUGACCAGCCACACUGGGACUGAGACACGGCCCAA
rnacentral:rRNA from 1 species